UACAGAGGUGGCAAGCGUUGUUCGGAAUUACUGGGCGUAAAGGGCGCGUAGGCGGCCUUCUAAGUCAGACGUGAAAUCCCCCGGCUUAACCUGGGAACUGCGUCUGAUACUGGAAGGCUUGAGUGCGGGAGAGGGAUGUGGAAUUCCAGGUGUAGCGGUGAAAUGCGUAGAUAUCAGGAGGAACACCCGAGGCGAAGGCGGCUCUCUGGGUCGUACCUGACGCUGAGGCGCGAAAGCGUGGGGAGCGAACGGG
rnacentral:rRNA from 1 species